GACGAACCGUGCGAACGUUGUUCGGAAUCACUGGGCAUAAGGGCGCGUAGGCGGGCCGUAAAGUCAGGGGUGAAAUCCUCCAGCUUAACUGGAGAACUGCCUUUGAUACUGACGGUCUCGAGUGAGGUAGGGGUGUGCGGAACUGAUGGUGGAGCGGUGAAAUGUGUUGAUAUCAUCAGGAACUCCGGUGGCGAAAGCGGCACACUGGACCUUUACUGACGCUGAGGCGCGAAAGCCAGGGGAGCAAACGGG
rnacentral:rRNA from 1 species